GACGAACGCUGGCGGCGUGCCUAACACAUGCAAGUCGAACGGAGAAUUAGCAAUAAUUCUUAGUGGCGAACGGGUGAGUAACGCGUAGACAACCUACCCUUUAGAUGGGGACAACACCGCGAAAGUGGUGCUAAUACCGAAUAUUGCUUGAGAAGCGCAUGCUUCUCAGACUAAAGACGGCCUCUAUAUAUAAGCUAUCGCUAAAGAAUGGGUCUGCGUCUGAUUAGCUAGUUGGUGAGAUAAAAGCUCACCAAGGCAACGAUCAGUAGCCGGUCUGAGAGGAUGAACGGCCACACUGGGACUGAGACACGGCCCAGACUCCUACAGGAGGCAGCAGUGGGGAAUCUGCCGCAAUGGACGAAAGUCUGACGGAGCAACGCCGCGUGAGUGAUGAAGGUUUUCGGAUCGUAAAACUCUGUUGUUAAGGACGAAUGUAUAGAUUGUGAAUAAUGGUUUAUAAUGACGGUACUUAACGAGGAAGCCACGGCUAACUACGUGCCAGCCGCCGCAGUAA
rnacentral:rRNA from 1 species